GGCAAGCAUAUCCUAGGUCUUACCGCUGAUCCUUCAAUGGUUGGUGCUGAUGAUCCCCAUACAGGCUGGCCUCAGCUCGGGUAGACGAUCCUGCCAAACAGAGUGAAAAAAAGGAGAAUAUUAAUAAGGCUGCAGGUUCGAAUCCUGGGACUGGAGUGAGCACCUGCUGUUAGCCCCAGCUUCUGCCAACCUAGCAGUUCGAAAACAUGCCAAUGGACUUUUUUCGUGUCAGGAGCAACUUGAGAAACUGCAAGUUGCUUCUGGUGUGAGAAAAUUGGCCAUCUGCAAGGACGUUGCCCAGGGGACGCCUGGAUUUUUUUUGGAUGUCUAACCACCUUGUGGGAGGCUUCUUUCAUGUCCCCGCAUGGAGCUGGAGCUAACAGAGGAAGCUCAUCUGCGCUCUCCCUGGGUUGGAUUUGAACUGGCAACCUUCAGAUCAGCAACCCAACCUUCAAGUCAUCAGUCUUGCCGGCACAAGGGUUUAACCCACUGCACCACUGGGGGCUCCACAGGGAUAGGCAAGUAAGACGACGACAUCAUCAUCAUCAUCAUCAUCAUCAUCAUCAUCAUGGCCCCCUUUCUGUUAUCUUAUUCCCAGAGCCUUUCUCAUUUCAACAUGCUUCCGUUUUUCACUGGAUGGGUUGGUGCAAUGGCCAUGUUGGCUUUUAAUAUGUACAGUUGAGUCUCACUUAUCCAACAUAAAUGGGCCGGCAGAACGUUGGUUAAGCGAAUAUGUUGGAUAAUAAGGAGAAGCCUAUUAAACAUCAAAUUAGGUUAUGACUUUACAAAUUAAGCACCAAAACAUCAUGUUAGACAACAAAUUUGGCAGAAAAAGUAGUUCAAUGCUCAGUAAUGCUAUGUAGUAAUUACUGUAUUUAUGAAUUUAGCACCAAAAUAUCACGAUAUAUUGAAAACAUUGACUACAAAAAUGCGUUGGAUAAUCCAGAACAUUGGAUAAGUGAGACUCUACUGUAAUAGGUUUAAUUUUUUCUACAUUGUUUAUAUGGGGCUGGUUCUUUAAUGCUUUUUAUUUUUUAUAUUUAGAUUGUUUUGGCUUUUUAAAAUGUACCUUGUUUUCAUGUACCAUCUUGGCCCCAUAGGUUAGAAAAGUGAGAUAUAAGUUCAAUAAACAAGUACAUACAAUUUAGCUAAACAAACAUUUAGGAAUAAUGUGGCAAUGGAUUGUUGGAGGGCUGUGGCAGAGUCAUUCUGAUUCUCACAGUCCCCGAAUCCUAAAUUUUCCAAGUUCUGAUAAUUUUCAGCUAUGCCACUACCUAUUAUGCCAUACUCCCUGCCAAAGCAUUCCAUAUGCAACCUCAAAUUAAAAAUCAUGGAUUAAAGGUAAGACUUAACUUUGCAACACCCCUCACUGAGUGAUUUGACUUUUUCAAAAGCAUGUUUGCUCAGUGCUUGCCAACUACUUAAUCAGCGAAGGUCGUGGUGGAUGUUCAGCCCGAUGAGCUGCUGUGGACCUCUGCGUAUGUCACAGCCCCCACUGACUUUAAUCAGAUUUUUUCUCAUUAAAAUCCAAACCAACAGCGAGCAAAGGCUGAAGAUUUGGCUUGUUGAAGCAGGAGGCGAUGGAGAUCUUUGGAGAUAGCCACUUAGAAGGUGGUAUCAUUAUCUUUCAGCCGAGCCAGACUUGGCAGUCGUGUCAAAUGAACUCUUAUUUUGCUUUAACGGCAUCCGCAGCCGCUGUCUUAUCAAAAGUUGGAAUGGUAGCAUAUGUUUGUAUGGGGGGUGGUGAGUAGUCAAUCCGACAAAAGGAUGAGCUGAAUCCUGUAUGUGGAUCCAGGAUAUACCUUUUUCCUAAGGAGUUUCUUUGAUAGUGCAAAGAAGUUGUUGAUGGCUUCUGGAUCUUUAAAGAAUUAUUUUGAAAAAUUGCAAUUUAAAGAAAUAUUAAACUCCAUGCGUGCAUGUAUGUGUGAGAGAGCAUGUGUGAGUUUGAGACAAACUAAUUUGAAGGGUAAUCUUCAGUUGUGCAGGUUUCUAGGAUGACAAUUGUUUCUUCUUCUGUUAUGUGCAUAGCAUUGAAUUUUUGCCGCAGUUUGUAAAGCCACUCAGAGUGCCCUUCGGAGUGAGAAGGGCAGGGUAUAAAUAAAGUAUAUUAUUAUUAUUA